CUGAAUUGAUUUUCUCUAUAAUUUCAGUUAUUCCAUUAAUUUUCCUUUUAUUUUUUUUCUUGCAUCGGAAGUCAAAUCAGUGCGAAAAAGUUCAUCCAAUUCCAAAUCAAUGGCGACCGAUCAUCACAGCGUGCGACGAAAACGAUUUGGCGUAGUGGACGUACUGUCGAGUGUUGGUGAAUUUUUCUAACCGAGCAUUGAUGAACAAUGGAGAAUUUGAUCCAGAAAAAAUGGAAUUCAACUUUGCUGUUGCUAAUGGAGUUAAUUAAUAUGUUGAUCGAAGUCGAGAUAGUUGGGGAACAAUCGUGUCGUUGAUGCUGUUAUAUCGUGUCCAAUAUCUGGUGGAUGUUUCGCGGCAUCUCGCCAAAUAGAGGCCAAUUCGUUCAUUGGAGUUGAAAAGCAAACAGAAACAUUGGGACUGAUUGGGAUCGGAAAAUUAAUUUUUCCACGGUGCAAUUCAGAGUUAUGCAGCCAAUUUACACAUAUUCGAUUCGUUUUCAGGUCGUUUCAUUACUAUAUCAUCGUUGUCGUGGAAAUGGAGUUUGAUUAGUAAUGUAGAAUCUUGCCUUGGUGGUCCAUGGUGUAAAGUAUGCGCGCCACUACUGUUGCACGCUAGGUGUUUGAUGUAAUGUCUCUGCAUAAUUUGGUUACCCCCCUGCAUAGUCUUUCCAUUUUUUUUUUUCAAAAAAAAAAAAAAAAAAGAAAUUGAAAAGUCUCAAUUAAUCAUUUCUGGGAAUAAGAUUCAAUUAUCUUUAGACCAGUCGGGUGAUAAUCUCUAUUGUAAGCCAUAGGUUUGAAUCCCAUAUUACUCUUAAAGCCAAAAUUGUCUCUACUCUGCAUCGCACAUGCUUUGAUUCCAUAUGAUACAAUUACUUCAGAAGUUAAGUAUCAAGAGUCAAAAUCAAACCAAAAUUUUACUUUUUGUUACAACUUAACAUCUUUAUCUUAACCACCGAUUUUGCACCCCAUUGGGAAGUAAGCUGAUUUGCACAACUUUUUGAAUUCUGUUUUGCAAAGAGCAAUCAAUACAUUUUAGGCCUCUAAUGAUUAAAAGUUACUAUUAAAUGAAACUGUUGAUGAAGCUUGCUUUCUGUUGGCAGAAAUGUUGGACUUAAAACUCCGUUGGCACAGGUUCAGUCUCUGUUAAUUAGUUGAAGGGUCAGCAAUCGGUGGACAUAAAGGCACUGAUCUUGAACGACAAUUCAGUUCUCUAAUUGUUUGACAUUAAUUUGAUGUUUUUCUUGCACACAGGGAAGGAAGCUGGAUUCAACGUUUUAAUUACUUUUGCUCGUUUGAGUUUAAAACAAGAGGAGCGCCAUACCCCAGAAAUGGAUGACAGGCGAUUCUUUGAGAAAUUCAGGACCUUCCUCGCGUAUGGCUGUGUGGAUCGCAUGUGCGAAGACAUUAUCGGUGCUUUUGCCUA